CUACGGGUUGCUGCAGUCGAGAAUCUUCCGCAAUGGACGAAAGUCUGACGGAGCGACGCCGCGUGCGGGAUGAAGGCCUUCGGGUUGUAAACCGCUGUCAGUGGGGAGGAAAUGCAUCAGGGUUCUCCCUGGUGUUUGACCGAUCCGCAGAGGAAGCGCAGGCUAAGUUCGUGCCAGCAGCCGCGGUAACACGAACUGCGCGAACGUUAUUCGGAAUCACUGGGCUUAAAGAGUUCGUAGGCGGCCUUUCAAGUCGGGUGUGAAAUCCCUCGGCUCAACCGAGGAAUUGCGCCUGAUACUGUUGGGCUUGAGGGGGAUAGGGGUGAGCGGAACUGAUGGUGGAGCGGUGAAAUGCGUUGAUAUCAUCAGGAACACCGGUGGCGAAGGCGGCUCACUGGAUCUCUUCUGACGCUGAGGAACGAAAGCUAGGGGAGCGAACGGGAUUAGAUACCCCAGUAGUC
rnacentral:rRNA from 1 species